GACGAACGCUGGCGGCGUGCUUAACACAUGCAAGUCGAACGAAGUGGCGAACGGGUGAGUAACGCGUAAUCAACCUGCCCUUCAGAGGGGGAAAACAGUUGGAAACGACUGCUAAUACCGCAUACUGAAGGAGGGGUUUGCGUCUGAUUAGCUGGUUGGGGGGGUAACGGCCCACCAGGGCGAUGAACAGUAGCCGGUCUGAGGAGAUGAACGGCCAACUGGGGACCGGGACAAGGGCCAGACUCCUACGGGAGGCAGGCGGGGGGAAUUGUCCGGAAUGGACGACAGUCUGGAGGAGCAACGCCGCGGGAGUGAUGACGGCCUUCGGGUUUUAAAGCUCUGUUAAUCGGGACGCGUUACCGGAAUAGAAAGCCACGGCUAACUACGUGCCAGCAGCCGCGGUAAUAC
rnacentral:rRNA from 1 species